GCGGAACAAGGAUCCCAUCUUGCACGUGCUGCGGCAGUACCUGGAUCCGGCCCAGCGUGGCGUCCGCGUCCUCGAGGUGGCCUCGGGCUCCGGCCAGCACGCAGCGCACUUCGCGCGGGCCUUCCCCCUGGCCGAGUGGCAGCCGUCGGACGUGGACCAGCGCUGCCUGGACAGGUGCGGCCCCCGGGGCGGCCACUUCUAUCGGUGCGGCGGUCCGGGGCCUCAAGAGCCCACGGCCCGCAGCCCCGGAGGAAAAGGAUGCGGCUCGGGCUCUGAGGGUGCGGGGUGGGAGCCUGGGGGUGCCCCCGGGGCAGGCCCUAGCUGUGCGGCCCCCGCGGCUGCGGAAGUGGGUGGACCUCGGGGUCCCCCUUCCCAGCCGCUUUGGUCUCCGCUCCUCAACGUGCCCCCCAGCCUCCCCUAAGAAAUUCUGUGGGGGCGUCGGAAAGGCGGGUGCACAGGACUCGGCCCCCACCCAAGCGUUCGCCUCCUGCAGCAUCGCGGCCACCACGCAAGCCCAGGGCCUGACCAACGUGAAGGCCCCGCUACACCUGGACGUGACGUGGGGCUGGGAGCACUGGGGCGGGAUCCUGCCACAGUCGCUGGACCUGUUGCUCUGCAUCAACAUGGCCCAUGUCAGCCCCCUGCGCUGCACGGAGGGGCUCUUCAGAGCAGCAGGACACCUGCUCAAACCCAGGGCCCUGCUCAUCACCUACGGGGGAGGGGGUGCCCUUUCAUUCUCCAAACCCCAGCCUGCAAGUCUGUCCCAGGCUCUCUGGGAAAUACCCCGACCUUGGUCCAGUGGGCUGUGUCCCCAUGCCCACAGCCCUAUGCCAUCAAUGGGAAGAUCUCCCCCCAGAGCAACGUGGACUUUGACCUGAUGCUCAGAUGCAGGUCAGAGCUAGAGGCGGGGGGUCUGGCUCAGGUGGCAGGUGGCUUGGGUGGCACCCCCCAGGCCAUGACUCCAUCUCCCCACCCUCUGCAGGAACCCAGAAUGGGGGCUUCGGGACACAGCCCUCCUGGAGGACCUGGGAAAGGCCAGUGGCCUGCUCCUGGAGAGGAUGGUGGACAUGCCAGCCAACAACAAAUGCCUGAUCUUCCGGAAAAACUAAGCCCCUCCUUCACCCCCGCACACCUGCAUCCCUGCCGGAGGCUCUGUGAGGCACGAACCCUGCCUCCCUAGGCCGGACCUUGUG
rnacentral:lncRNA from 1 species